GGCAAAGAUCGCAUUGGAAUUUAUUCUAAAUUUCACCUUUAUAUUAAAAACGUAUUGAAAUCUCAGCAGUUUGUAACCGAGUACGAAAACUUCGCCAGAAUCACUGAAACGGUCAUUGGCAAAUAUAUGAAACAAGUCACCGAUAUGAAAAACAUGAUCUUCAUGCCUGAUGAAGAACAACGAAAAAAAUUUCGAGAAGCUUGUGAUAGUUUAAUAACAAGCUUGAAAAUUCACGGAGAAAGCGCUCCUGAGUUUACAUCUAGAAUAACAGCCGCUGAAAAACAAG